UGGACCUGUCUCGCUCCUCUCCAUCAGUCCCGCACCGGGUACGGCCAAUUCCUGUCUUCAUAAAACUUCCUCAGGCCCUGGAGGUUGACAGGGGGGAAGUAGGGGCCGAUCCUCUUCCGAAUCCACCACUUGCCCUCUGCAGCGUGCGCUCCUCCAGGCUUGCUGAAUUUGUACUUGAAAUGUUCCCCUCGGAUCCACCGUGGGGGAUCCUUGCCUGCGAAU
rnacentral:lncRNA from 1 species